AACGCAUAUUGCGCCCCUUGGUAUUCCUUGGGGCACACCUGUUCGAGCGUCAUUUCACCAAUCAAGCCUCGCUUGGUAUUGGGCGAUGCGGCCUGCCCGCACGCCUCAAAUGCAACGGCCGAACGUGCUCUCCUCCGGCGUCGUGGAAACAUACCGCUAUGGGGAUGAGGGCGACUCGUGCCGCACAAACCUAACAUUCCAAAGGUUGACCUCGGAUCAGGUGGGGAUACCCGCUGAACUUAA
rnacentral:misc_RNA from 1 species